rnacentral:rRNA from 1 species
AAGCGGUGGAUGAUGUGGUUUAAUUCGAUGCAACGCGAAAACCUUACCCACCUUUGACAUGGCAGGAAUCCCGAAGAGAUUGGAGUGCUCGAAAGAGAACCUGCACACAGGUGCUGCAUGGCUGUCGUCAGCUCGUGUCGUGAGAUGUUGGGUUAAGUCCCGCAACGAGCGCAACCCUUGCCAUUAGUUGCUACGAAAGGGCACUCUAAUGGGACUGCCGGUGACAAACCGGAGGAAGGUGGGGAUGACGUCAAGUCCUCAUGGCCCUUAUAGGUGGGGCUACACACGUCAUACAAUGGCCGGUACAGAGGGUAGCCAACCCGCGAGGGGGAGCCAAUCCCACAAAGCCGGUCGUAGUCCGGAUCGCAGUCUGCAACUCGACUGCGUGAAGUCGGAAUCGCUAGUAAUCGCGGAUCAGCAUGUCGCGGUGAAUACGUUCCCGGGCCUU